CCAGCCACACACGAAUAAACUGGACACACGAAUAAACUGGACUUGCAGAGCCAUCUGAUUCCUUUUGAAAAAGAAAAAAAAGCUAGAGCGGCUGGCUAGACUACGAGACAAGCGGCAACCUCUCGCGGAGGCAGGGGUAGCAAGAGCCGGAACGAAAGCAACGCUCACACCUGGAAGGCCUCUCCCGAGAUACCAACAAGAGCAAAGCCGUCCCAGCAUUUCGAGAAAAAAGCAUUGGAGGCAACGGAGACGACACCUCCUCCUGAGCCCUGACAUGUACACAGUACGUACGAUUGAUCCCCCCGGGUGUUAGCCAGCGCGUCGUAUUCGGUGCAGCCCAGAUUCGUCCGGUCCAUCAGCGC
rnacentral:lncRNA from 1 species